rnacentral:rRNA from 1 species
CGUGUAGGCGGCCAACCAAGUCGGGUGUGAAAGCCCUCGGCUCAACCGAGGAAGUGCGCCCGAAACUAGCUGGCUUGAGUACCAGAGAGGGUGGCGGAAUUCCCGGUGUAGAGGUGAAAUUCGUAGAUAUCGGGAGGAACACCAGCGGCGAAGGCGGCCACCUGGAUGGAUACUGACGCCGAGACGCGAAAGCGUGGGGAGCAAACA